UUCACACGUUUUAGGUCGUGAGUCGUCUCCAGACUCAUCUUCAAAUGAAUCCUUUGUUUCACACGUGGGUGGUUCCUGUCUUUCCCGGCAAAUGAGACAUCCGAGUGACGAAUUUCAGACUGGGAUCAACAAAAGACAAGAGUUGAAAGCUCGAGCAUGUGACUGCUCAAAUUGGCAUUGCCAUUCAGUGCAGCACUUAAAUCUAAAGUGGCUGUUGGCAUCUGAGUAGGUGACAUAAUCCUUCCGUUGGUUGCAUCUGGAUGCUUUUCAAUUCCCGACAGAUCGGGCAACAUCGUAGACGAGCCCUUGUACUACAAUCGGGAAUCAAUCACCAUUACAAUCAUCACCACUAUGAGCAGGUCGAAGCUGUUAUCAGCCGGGCGGCAAAGAGGAGUUGGGUUGCACAGACGAGACAGCAACAGACAUCCAACGUCAUGGCGAGCGAACAAAGUGCCAAACUGACUUCGUAAACGGAAUGAGCCUCGUCCGGCGAAACGAUGCGCACCUGGUCGAUGAAGUGGAUGGCGUCUGGUGGCGGACUCAUUUUGAGCAAAAAGAUGAGACCCAACAGGGCCAUCAUUAGAGACAAGAGGCAGAGCAGACCGAGCGAAGUUAACAUCUCGCGCACUCCGAUGACGCUGGCGGAAACCUGACGCGCUGCAGCUGCCAGCCUCGUAACGGACGUCGGUAGAGGACUUCCGCGCCGGAUGUGCAUUCCACCGUUAGCCGUACCGCCUUUAUUUAACCCUCUUCCACUGGAAAUGGUACCACACACACACACACCACCAUUCACAGAGGGUGAAAAAAAAAACAACAAAAAUCCAUAAAUUCUUACCCAUUGGACAGGAAGGUGUGGUCGCCAAUCGGGAGCGAGCGAUCCGUGAUGAAAAUGGAAGAGGACAGUGGGCCGUUGCUGAAAUUGAAAGCGCCCGUUCCAGGACUGAUGUUGCUCGUCGUCGGACUCAGCGAAUGCUUGGACGUGUUGUGCAUGGAGAUAUUGUGCAUUUGCGGCUGUUGUUUAGUGCUGCUCGAUCCGGCUGUGGAGUAACGUCCUGGCGAAGUGUAGCCGUUAGCCAAAUGAUGCUGAUGCGAUGGAUGAGGAGCCAUGACGUUGUUGUUUGUGAGGAGGCGGCGAGGAGGCGGUUCAAUUCGAUCCGACUGGCCCGAUUCUGAAAGUCCGUUGGAUGGAGUACGCAAAUGAUCGGUUGGUUGACGUGUACUUAGGUGUUUCAACAUGCCGGAUGAUUCGCUCCUACUACUAUUACAACUACCGGACGAGCUACUGCUUGAUCGAUCCAAGAAAAAGAAAAUACAAACAAAAGAAGAUGGAAAGGACGCAGCUACCAAAUCAAUCAAACAUUGAAGAUUGGAAGGAUGUACGCAAGCAUGUAUAGCUGGAACAAUAAAAAGAAAAACCUGUCUUUGGUUUCUUCCCUUAAGCUCCACCUGGCUAACAUAAUGAACUCCAUGGUCGGCAUGUUUUUUUCCCCAGAAAAAACACAUAUUGACUCUUUUGGUAGGGGAGAAAAAAAGAAGAUGAUGAUGAUGAUGGCGUGAAAGUGCUCGUUAAACGCUGCCUGUAAGUGGUCGAAUGCUCAGGUGAUGGGCUUAGACACUCGAAUGAAAGGCAAUAAAUUCCGCCCCGUGGGAUGGUAUCGGAGGAACCCCCCUGAAAGCCCUAGAGUUCCCCACGGGCUUUUUUCUACCUGGAUUUUUGCCCCUCUCGAUGUCCCUGAUCUAUCGGAAUAAUUGUUGAUGGGUUUUCGGCGAAUGAAGAAAACAGGUUUUGGCUUCCAUGAUCUCUUAACGCCUUGUAUGCGUUGUUAUUUUUACGGUAAACCAGAGAGCUGCCGGAAGACUAGUGGGUCCGCGUGGAGUGAAAAGUAGACCACAAACAGGUAGAUGAAAAAAAUUGGAUGAAGGAGAAGAAAGAAAAAGCAUAAGAAAAAGAAGAAGAAGUAGGCGGUGUUGGCGAGAAGAAUUAGUUGACCGAUGGACCGGAGACAAUGCCCUGUGACACGUUGCCCGAAGCGGAGCCGGGUGUCCGAAUCAACAUAGAGAGCUGAGCGCCAUUUUGUUUUGGCCACUGACCUUUUUAUCAUCCGGCUACGAUGGUGGCUGCUGCCGCCCGCUGCUGGUAAUGCUGGUGGCGAAUGGUAUUUAUUUUCCCUUUUUUUUUUUUAUUCUUUUUAUUUGUUGAGAGAAGAAAAAGGGAAAAUAAAAGGUGAUGGGCCAAGCUCUUCUCCUUUCAACUCCUUUUUUUUUCUUUUCGUUCUUUAUUUUCGUUUUCAAUGCCAAGGGCCGAACUGAACAGUCAGGGCGGUUAAUCUCUAUGAACGAUCUUGGGACGAUCUGGCAGCGGGAGUACCAGUAAUAUAACAAGACGACGAAGCCAUGAAGUUAUGUUGAGCGCGGAUCACAGUCCGCCAACCGCUCCCGGAUCGGAUUGUUAUUCUACACUAACCGAUUGCCCGGGCUCCAGUAGGACCCUCGGCUUUGCUUGCUUCGCUUAAAUGAAAGGUGAUUCGCAGCAGUUUCAAAUGACCGCCCAGUCAGGAGAGGUAAGACCCUACCUCUUCUCCUUUUACCUUCCUUUCUUUCCACCCCCAAUCGCCGGGUUUCCUUUUUCUUUUUAUUAUUCCCCCCUCUGUGGCCGUUGUUUUUGUUGUCGAUCUGCUGGAAUGGCGGGAAAAAACGGACGCACACACACACACACAGGGCUAUUCGUUUGAUAACUUUGGCCUUAACACACACACACACACUAGGAAGAAUAAUCCGCGGUUUUCUACGGCAAAACAAUUCUCUCGAUGCUCAGCCACAGCAAACUUCUUUUUAUUUUUUUAUCUGGUUGAACUUUAGCUGGCCAGCAACCGUUGCCGCCUUCGUGUCCUUCAAGUGAAAGUGUGUCGCUGAAUCUCCGAAAACACGACACCGCUCCACGUUCCUUCCUUUUUUUUCUUUCUGUUGCUGCUGUCUUGAGCACUUUCCAACGGUUUGCAACAUGCAACGGGCCGCCACGGUACUUGAAAACACUAAAGGGGGUCUGUUCCUCAAUGCACAACAGAGCACGGGGCAAUCACGAAUCUCUUGUUUGUUGUUUUAGGUGCGCUUGUAAAUUACCUGGCGCAGGCUUGGGGGUUAGGAAACUUUUUUUGUUUGUUGCUGAAACUGAUGCGUGUGUAGUAAUCGUGGUUGCCGAUCGCAACUCACGUGAGAAAUGUUGCAACCGUCUCGUCCGGCUGGAACUUUCAAACUAAAAGUCUACUACGUAUGUCUCUUUGAACCGAUGAAAAAUAGGAAGAAAAAUGGGAAAAAUGAAAAUAAGAAAUCUCAUCCUCCUGGAGAGUUUGGUUACGCGCUGGCCCUGCGGCAAGGGCGACUGCGACUUGGCAACUCCAAAUCAGAAGAAAUAUUCAACCGAAAAGAAAAAAUAAAUAAAUAUCGUUAACAAAUUCAUAAGAAAAAAGAAAGAGUCAAACGCAUGUGUAUGUGGCUUGUCUGCGUGCCUUCCGCAAAGGUCCAACUGCUUUUUCCAUAAAUGUUAACCGCUGCUUAUUUUGCUCGUUGUCUGAGUAGACAAAUAACGAAUCGCUUUAUCGUGGCUGUAAUCUAAAAUUCAAUGUAGUUGAGCUGCCGUUGGUGCUACAUUGCUGCAUUAACAUAUUCUAGAUGCCAUUUUUACACGUGUAAUGUAUGUUUCGGCUCGAUCUCUGCCAUUCGACACCAAUCAUAAAUUAAUCUGGGAGGAGAAACAAGGAGUUGGGAGUAACAUUUAGAAAAGGAUGCUGUGUUUUAACGAGCGUGGAACGCGGUGAAUCAGUAGCCGGCCACCGUAUGAGAGGGAAGCAAAGGUCCACGAAUCGGCGCUGGACCAGGCCACCGAGUAGACGGAAUCUUCAUGCUCUUCGUAUGCGGUAAUCACACCGUCCGCCAGAGGACUCCGAACAUCCUCAUCUGAAAAGUUUACUCGUGGUAUUUAUUAGUUACUUUUCUUGUUUUUGUUUUUAAGGUUUGUUUUACUAAAAUUAGCAUAUUGUAUGUAAAAUAAGUCACCAUCAUCAUUAUCCUUAUCGUCUGACAUAAGUUUUCCAAAGGGCUCGGAUGACAAGGACGCGGCUGAUGUCAAAACCACUCGUGCAUCGCUUCCUGCAGAUAGCACCAAUUGAUCGUGGAAUACGUUAUAGCGUACUUGCCAUACCCUGCCGUAAAAGAGCAAAUAACGUAUCUUUCUUUUGAAUUUCUUUAACAUUUGUCAUCCCAAAGUGGGCCAUCUCCGUGAACCUACCAGUGAUAAUGAUCGUGCCUGUUGAGGACGGGACUGCUAAGGUUACGUACAUCCCAGAACUUAACACAUCCAUCAUCACCGCAUGUGGCCAUGUAAUAUUGGCGAUUAGGAUUGAAAUCUAAAUCUCUAAUAGGUUCAAUGUGAGCGUUUUCUAUGUUGUAAAUAGAUCCUUUGUUGACUGAACGAAGGUCGACCACUUGAAGAUUCGUCUCCAUGGCUACCGCUACCUGAUUGGUACCAUGAUGCGGAGACCAAUUGGCAGCUGUUACUUGGUUAUGAGUCUUGCACAGUGGCUCCGAAAAUAUUGCAUUCUAAUGGUUGAAAUAGAGUUUACAACAAUGAGUUUUUUAGUGUGAUUUAAAACUGUUUUACCUGCACUUUCCCGUCAUUACUGAAAUCCCACAAAUUUAUUUGACUGUCUGUACUGACUGUCACUACUUUAUUACCAUCAUUUGGUUGCCAUAGAACUUUUGCUACCUCUUUUUCAUCGCUGCUUUCCAAACUUGCUAUGGCUUUGAGCUGGCCAUGAGAUGUUGGGUCCAGGGUAUCGAUAGACUGUCCAUUGCUGGGCACAGGACUCAUCUUGUAAAUGGUAGCUGACAUUUUUUGAUUUUGACCUUCUUUAAAUCAGUAAAAUUAAAUACUGAAAAGUUGUGUGGCUAUCCAGAAAAGUGGAAAACCAUUGUAAGUUGGCUAUAUGUACUGUGAACCGUGCUGAUUAUAUCUGCUUGGUUAGGAUGGGCAUUUGUUUGCCAUAUCUCUCCAAGUGGGUGAGGGUAAACAAAUUUGCUCACCAAAACAGAUUCUUCAUCAUAUUCAACACAAUGGAUUGAAUUUUCUGAUUUCAGAGACUGCGUUCCAAUCAGAAAACGAACCAUUUCAGUUUCUCCAUAUUGGGCGCAUAACGACCUAGCCUAGAACAAAAAUUAGUUCAUUCGUUGUUUGCUAAACUUCGUUUAGUAAAAAAUACCUGAAAAUCAAGGCCAUAAAUGAUUGGUGCUUCUUCUUCCAUCCGAUUGUAUUCGUGUUAAAGGCUUAAAUUGUGACACAACUGAAACGACUGCUACUAUCAAGUAAACACGGCGCCUAACGCCAUCUCUAGUUGCACCAAAUAGUUUUUUAUAUAGCCUUUUCAAAGAAUCCCAAAGAGUGACAGAAUAAAUUAAUUCCCUCUUAGUUUACCACGGGGGUCAAUAGGACCCCUAUUCUACUACCUUUUUCUGACUUGAUCUUGUAAACGGCUUUAUGGGUCUUGAUGCUGGAUAGCUAGUAAUUAGCGGCACUACUUAUUAUUAGUACAAGAAUUUAAUUGAUUAUUUGUGAGAACAACGUGCAAUUAUCUGUUUUGUGGGGAAAAAGGGCGGAGUUACACACUCCACAUUUCGCGACAAUUUUCUGGAAGUAACCGGAAGUAGCCAAUAUCUCAGGAAAUAGUAAUCCCAUAACAAAACGAGUAGGAUUUUCGUGAUCCUUAUCAAAUUAUGGGUUGGAAUGACAUGUUUUUAGCCAAAAGUCGGAUUUUACCUAGAUCACGAUUUUUCAUGAACAUUUUCGUGUUCAGGAAAAUUUGCGAUUUUUUAAUGCGAAAUGCAAAAAUAAAACGAAAACAAAGUGCCGAUUUUGUGUACAAAAAAGUCGGUAGAUGGCAGUGCACAUGUAGAUAGCAGUGCAUCUAAGGUUUUUUGGUCCCGAUCUAGUGGAAUUUACAUUCGUCUGAAAUGUGCCGUCGCCAUUGUGAACGAAGCAUGGGUCACUACAAAUCAUCUUCUGAUACGUUGUCCGGUUUUUAAAAAUCUUUUAUUACUUUAUUGAUUAUAGAAAACAUCUUGACAUUCACACGAAUGCCUUUGUCUUAUCUGAUCGUGUUAACAUGCUGAUUCGUUCUUGCCACUGGCCGAAGCCAUUUUGUCAAAUUUUGCAUCUUUCCUAAAUUUAAUCACACACAAGCAUUCUGGCAUGUGUCAGGCAACGGGUUACAGGAAUGGCAUGGUCCCCUUUUGGUGUUGAGCCUGGCCUACACCCUUGGUUAUUGAAAAUGGUGUUGGAACAAGUAAUUACAUGGAGCUGGAGCGUCAAUUUGGGACUUGAUUUGUCAUCUGUUGGUUGACGUGGGAAAACAGAGAUUGGACCCACCAUUUUAUUCCCACGCUUAUCAUUGGAAUUCUGGGAUGGUAGCUGUUGUUGCAGGACACUCCUUGGUUCGUUAGUGAGGUUCCAGAAAGCAGCAUUCCAAGAGCAAGAAUACAAUUUGCCGGCCGUCAACACAAUAUAGAUUGUUUAACUUUGUUUUCUUGCCUUGGUGGUGAAAUCGAAUUAUAUUGAGAUUAAAAAAUU